UGGGGAAUUUUGCACAAUGGGCGAAAGCCUGAUGCAGCGACGCCGCGUGUGCGAUGAAGGCCUUUGGGUCGUAAAGCACUGUCGAUCGGGACGAAAACUCCGGUACUAAUACUAUCGGAGUCUGACGGUACUGAUAAAGGAAGCACCGGCUAACUCUGUGCCAGCAGCCGCGGUAAUACAGAGGGUGCAAACGUUGCUCGGAAUUAUUGGGCGUAAAGCGCGUGUAGGCGGCUUGUUAAGUUGGUCGUGAAAGCCCAUGGCUCAACCAUGGAAGUGCAACCAAAACUGGCAAGCUUGAGUUCUGAAGAGGAUGGCGGAAUUCCCAGUGUAGAGGUGAAAUUCGUAGAUAUUGGGAGGAACAUCGGUGGCGAAGGCGGCCAUCUGGGAAGAUACUGACGCUGAGACGCGAAAGCGUGGGUAGCAAACAG
rnacentral:rRNA from 1 species